rnacentral:lncRNA from 1 species
GCGAGAGCCAAGGCUUCUGGUCAGGGCAGCGGUACAGAGACAAACAGAGGCCUUUGGACUGGGGACCCCAGGCCCGGCCAAAGGAGAGAGACUUGCACCCAAAGCAAGGGCGUUAAGGGACCACGUACUCAUCGAAUGUCAGGACCCCCGGCCUCCCUCUCCCACCCAGAAACCAGCCCGCUGGCCGCUGGCCCUACCUACCCCCUCUGGAACAAAGUCCUCAAGGUUGUUUUCUGUGACCUCUGACCAGCCUCAGUGGAGAAGUCCCAGGGCCCUCUGGAGUCCCCAGGAAACAGCCCACCCGGACCAGCCCGCAGUGAGCUCCCAGCUGAGAAGGCCCCUCUUCCUGCUCCCCUGCUUCCUGCCCAGCUGAGAAGCCCCUCGGAGCUGCCAUCUGGCAUUCCGGCCGCCGUCCCUGAAAUAUGGACAGACAACCAAGGGUCCCAGCACACCGUCCCUGUCUGUCCCAGCACAAAAGCAAAACCAGAAAAUUUGAAAUUGCCUUUGUGGACCUCAUUCUGUGUCCCUUGCCACCUCACACCCACGACCUUCUCCUGCUCCCUGCCGCCGCCCCAACCACCACCUUCAGCGGUCACAUCCUGGCUGGAACUCAUGUUUGACCACCUCUGAGAUAAUCACACAGACGGCCCCUCUCCUGGCCCAGCUUCCUCCCUGCAUUCCAGCACCUGCACUCAAAUCCUCCCAACUGACCUCCUCCUCCACUGCCACUGCUCGCUUGCUUGCCAAUCCUCACUCUUUUGCCCCAUUCCUUAGUCUAAGCCACCGGGCAAGUCCCCCACCCUGGCUCAAUCCACGGGCGGAGCAGGGCUGGAGGAGAGCACGCAACCCCACAGAGCAGCACGCUGCUCGUUCAGGUUCUCCGGUCCCGGCUGGCCUCUCUGGGCUGCAUCCCUGGGGUUUCCCCAACCUGCUGUCCCUCCUGUUCUCGCAGUGACAGCCUGCAGAGUCCUUGCUUUCACGAGCCUGGCCUGCCCCGCCCCCUCUCUGCAGAAAGCCCCACCUCCCCCAGCGGAGAACCCCGAGGUGGGAACCCCACGUGCCCCUUCACUGAAACUUAGCAACACCUGCCGCUGUCCGCCCUGCGAGGGCUCCCAUUUACAACAACAGCAGCCCUCCUCCUGGGCUCUGGGAUCUGACCUGGCUCCCCGGCUUUCUCCGAUCCCAUCUUCUCCAGCUCCACGGCACCUUCAAACCUACCAGUUCCUUCCCAUCAACAUUUAAAUAAGCCACGUUUCUACAGUCUUAAAAAACAAAACCCAGCCUUCCCCUCAACCCCUAUCCUUCCACAGGUACUGCAACCUGAGCAGGGCCCCGUGGGGCUCCUGGGCACAAAACCCUUUCUGUGCCCCUCAUUUCCUGUUUUUAGGAAAUGGGCCUCCUUUUGCCUCCAUGGCCUUCCCUUGGUCCUUAGGGGCAGGUUCCGACAGCUGCUGAUCCGGGGAGGGAGGGGAAGCAGAGACAAGGAACAGUCUGGCAACAACAGCGCAGCCUGGGGGCAGGAUCCUGGGUCCCUCUCAAGGGAUACACACAAUGACGUAGGCACCUCACACACCUACAACUUAUGUGCCUGAUGCUUCUUUUAGAAAUGAGAACUUUAAACCUGAACAGGUUGGAGCCCCUCCUGUGCUCCUCCCUCCCUCGUUCGAUUGCACCCGAAACGCAGUCACCUGGGAGCUAACGAUUACACACCCUGCGCACAAUUGCCUGUGAGUUCAAGAUGAUUAGCACAAGAUGUUUUUCAGGAGCUUUCCUAGUUUGUUCUAGUCUCUGAUCAAUAUGCCCUUUUCGCAAGUACUGCUACUCUAGGCGAUAACCCAGAAGACCACCCCCAGGAUCCUGUCAAGAUCUCCUGACCCCAGCUUCGUGAGGAAGAUUCGCUAAAAAAAAAAAGAGCGCAUGUCUGCCCCAAUCCUGAUUCUUAUCUUAAACCCUGUUUUUCUCUUCUAGGCUAUAAAACUCCCUGCAAUUCUUCCCCCAGGGAGGGGGCACAGUCUUUAAGGCAUUAGUUGCUGUGGCCUCCUUUACCUGGCAAAGCAAGAAAAGCUAUUUUUUUUUUCCUUCACCCAAAACUCUGUCUCCGCGUUUCGGGACCAGUGGACAGAGGCCAAGUUUCGGCAACAGUACCACACUCUGUGCCCCUUACACAGCCUACCUGCUGCAAAGAAUCUUCCUCCUGAAUCCCCUCCCUUUCUUUUCCUCCCAUUCUUCAGUCCCUGAGAGCUGGCUCCCACCCUCCCUCUAAAUCCGCGUUCAUCAAGCUGGCCGGGACCUCGUGGGGACUUGCAGCUAACCCCGAGGACCUCCUCGGCCUUAUCCUCGGAUCUCUCCGCGUGUCUUAGCAUCCCCGUGGCCUCCCCCUGCCCUCCUGGGACACUCUCCCCCUGGCUCCUGAACCCCCUCUUGUCAGCGCUGCCUUUCCCCCCAGGACCCCUUUGGAGGUCGCGUGCCGCCGGGUGCUGGAGACCCAGCAAAGCAUCUGCUUCCCAUGCAGCCCCCUGAUGUGGGGGCCCCUCAAGGUUUUUCACACCCAACACACUGGCCCUGGGUGACCUCACCCACUGCACAGCUUCAGCUCUUCCGGAAGCUGAGGACACCGCUCCACUGCCUGAGCCAGAACUGCUCGUCCUCCCUCAGCCUGACUUUCCAACAGCCAACCAGUAACUUUUUUAUCACCAUAAGCAAAGUUCAAGAAUUGCAAUCUCUCCGGCAAGCAUCAGCAGAAACAAAUCCGACUAGGAACCAUGAGGUGGCCGGUUCGAUCCCUGGCCUCGCUCAAUGGGUUAAGGAUCCAGCAUUGAUGUGAGCUGUGGUGUAAGUUGAACACGAGGCUCAGAUCCCAUGUUGCUGUGGCUGUGGCAUAGGCCAGCAGCUGUAGCACCAAUUAGACCCCUAGCCUGGGAACUUCCAUAUGCCACAGGUGCAGCCCUAAAAAUCAAAAAAUAAAAAUAAAACAAAGGAGCCAUUGCUGGAGUUCCCGCUGUGGCUCAGCAGGUUAAGAACAGGACAUGAGGUCUGUGAGGAUGCGGUUUCGAUCCCUGACCUUGCUCAGUGGGUUAAGGAUCUGGCGUUGCCGAAAGCUGUGGUAAAGGUUGCAGAUGCAGCUCGGAUACGGCAUUGCUGUGGGUGUGGUGUGGGCUAGUAGCUGCAGCUCUGAUUAAACCCCUAGCCCAGGAACUUCCACAUGCCAUAGGUGCAUCCAUAAAAGGGGAAAAAAAAAAGACCUCACGAAAAAGAGAUCAGGGAGUUCCCUUGUGGUGCUGUGAGUUAAGGAUGCAACAUAGAUCGCAGCUACAGCUUGGAUUCUGUCCCCUGUCCAGGAAAUUCCAUAAUCAGCAGGCAUGGCUCU